GUUCAGAGCACCAGCCCUGAAGGCAUGUCCACCUCCUCCAAAACUUCUGCAGCUUCCUCCAGAGCACAGAAAAGGAAGAGAAAAGCUCCACCGGCCAUCUCUGUCACGCCACCCAUGGCACCACAUUCAGUAGACACCACCUGCUGUGCUCGCUGCGGAGAGCGUGAUCCGCCUGCAAGCUCCCCUCAGGAGUGUAGGUCCGUGGUGCCAUGGGUGUGCUGUGACUUCUGUCAGCAUUGGUUCCAC